GGUUAAGCGACUAAGCGUACACGGUGGAUGCCCUGGCAGUCAGAGGCGAUGAAGGACGUGCUAAUCUGCGAUAAGCGUCGGUGAGGUGAUAU
rnacentral:rRNA from 1 species